CUACAUACAGUAAUAGGAGAAUAGUGGCUGUAUCAGUAUGCAGGAUGAAUAGAGAAGGAUCAGUAGAGCUACAGAAAAAACCAUAUUCAAGCAGAAAGCUGCUGAACCUAUCAAACCAGGCUCGAGGAGCUUGUCGAAGUCCAUAAAGAGAUCUUCGAAGAAGACAAACAUGAUGAGGCUUUUGUGAAUCUUUAAAUCCUGGAGGUUGCUCCAUGAACACUGUUUCACUUAAGUGUCCAUGACUGAAGGUUUCUGUGAAAUCAAGACCUUCUUCUUGAUGAAAGCCUUUGGCAACCAGCCUAGCUUUGAGUCUAUCCAAGCUUCCAUCGGGUGCAAGUUUUGUCUUGAACACCCAUUUGCACCCGAUUACAUUCAUGUGAUUAAUGCGAGGAACUAAUUCCCAGGAUCAAGUGACAUUUGUAUGUGGAAUCGACCUUCAGAACUACUUGAAGUGAGCUCACCAUUCUGUAUUUCUGGAGCUACUUGGUUAAGUCUGGAUAUAUCCAGCUGCACCGAGAAAAAUCAUCCACAAAAAUGACAUAGUAGGAGAAUUUCUGAACAGAUUGAAUUGGUGAAGGUCCCCAUACAUCACAAUGUAUUCUUUCUAAUGGAACUUUAGA